UACGUAGGGUGCGAGCGUUAAUCGGAAUUACUGGGCGUAAAGCGUGCGCAGGCGGUUCGUGAUGUCUGAUGUGAAAGCCCCGGGCUCAACCUGGGAAUUGCAUUGGAAACUAGCGGGCUGGAGUGUGGCAGAGGGGGGUGGAAUUCCACGUGUAGCAGUGAAAUGCGUAGAGAUGUGGGGGAACACCGAUGGCGAAGGCAGCCCCCUGGGCUAACACUGACGCUCAUGCACGAAAGCGUGGGGAGCAAACAGG
rnacentral:rRNA from 1 species